UACGUAGGGGGCUAGCGUUGUCCGGAAUUAUUGGGCGUAAAGAGCUCGUAGGCGGUUUGUCACGUCUGCUGUGAAAACUGGAGGCUCAACCUCCAGCCUGCAGUGGGUACGGGCAGACUAGAGUGCGGUAGGGGAGAUUGGAAUUCCUGGUGUAGCGGUGGAAUGCGCAGAUAUCAGGAGGAACACCGAUGGCGAAGGCAGAUCUCUGGGCCGUAACUGACGCUGAGGAGCGAAAGCAUGGGGAGCGAACAGG
rnacentral:rRNA from 1 species